UACGGGGGGGGCAAGCGUUGUUCGGAAUUACUGGGCGUAAAGGGCGCGUAGGCGGCUUUUCAAGUCGGGCGUGAAAUCUCCGUGCUUAACCCGGAAGGGUCGUUCGAUACUGUUGAGCUAGAGUGUGGAAGAGGCAACUAGAAUUCCGUGUGUAGCGGUGAAAUGCGUAGAUAUACGGAGGAAUACCUGAGGCGAAGGCGGGUUGCUGGGCCAACACUGACGCUGAGGCGCGAAAGCCAGGGGAGCAAACGGG
rnacentral:rRNA from 1 species